rnacentral:rRNA from 1 species
CCUACGGGGGGCAGCAGUGGGGAAUCUUGCGCAAUGGGCGAAAGCCUGACGCAGCGACGCCGCGUGGGUGAUGAAGGCCUUCGGGUCGUAAAGCCCUGUCGGGAGGGAAGAAAUCUCAUCAGCCUAAUAUGCCGGUGACUUGACGGUACCUCUUAAGGAAGCACCGGCUAACUCCGUGCCAGCAGCCGCGGUAAUACGGAGGGUGCAAGCGUUGUUCGGAAUCACUGGGCGUAAAGCGCGUGUAGGCGGCCAUUUAAGUCUGGUGUGAAAGCCCUGGGCUCAACUCAGGAAGUGCACUGGAUACUGGGUGGCUGUAGUACCGGAGAGGAGGGUGGAAUUCCUGGUGUAGCGGUGAAAUGCGUAGAUAUCAGGAGGAACACCGGUGGCGAAGGCGUCCCUCUGGCCGGAUACUGACGCUGAGACGCGAAAGCGUGGGGAGCAAACAGGAUUAGAUACCCGUGUANUC